UACAGAGGGUGCGAGCGUUAUUCGGAAUUACUGGGCGUAAAGAGAGUGUAGGCUGUUUGGUAAGUCUGAUGUGAAAGCCCUAGGCUCAACCUAGGAAGUGCAUUGGAUACUGCCAGACUGGAGUACGAGAGAGGAAAGCGGAAUUCCUGGUGUAGAGGUGAAAUUCGUAGAUAUCAGGAGGAACAACGGAGGCGAAGGCGGCUUUCUGGAUCGUAACUGACGCUAAGGCUCGAAAGCGUGGGUAGCAAACAGG
rnacentral:rRNA from 1 species